AGGGGGAUCAGUUUCAUUCCUCUGCAGAGGCAAAGAGAAUUUCAGUCCACGCAGCAAACCCACCAUGAAGACUAUAGAUCUUUCCACAUCAUCAUCACUUCCAUUCUCUAGGCCUUCAAAAGAUGUUUAGGGAGAAGAAUCAAUUCAUAUGACGUCACAUCCCAAUUAUCCCCAGGAGGAGGAUGCAGAGGGAAUUUCAUCGAGGCCAUCUUCCACGGGAAUCUUGAAAUUAAUUUCGCUCCUAGUGCAUCCGUGCCAAAGGGCAGGGAAUUGUCACGAAAAAGGAAACAAAAGGCCCAGGAGAAGGAUUUUCACAUCAGCAGCCUUCGAAACACACACGUUUCCCUGCAAUGCUAGUGCAGAGGAACAAACAAAAAAAAAAAAAACAACCCAACAACCACACUCUUCAUUCUCAACUCAAAAAUAUUUUUUUAAAAAAACAAAAAAACCUGGGAUUUCCAGCUGAGCUUUUUAUGACUCCCAGCUCUUAUCCUGCAAAGACACCAACAGAGCUACUACAGCCUCCUUUAAUUUGGAAAAAUUGGCACAUGCAAGGGAACAACAAACAGGUGAUUGUUUUCCUUCUGACAAGCCAAACUGUUUUCAAUUAGGGAGGGGAAGAGAGAGAUGCAGAGCCACUUCUAAGCAUCUCCAGUUUCUCUUUUACCUCCUUUCCAUGACAUCCAUAUUUAAUCAAGCCCGAUAGCAUUUCUCUAACCGCUGCUAUUUUUUUCCUCUAUGGAAAUUUUUGCAUAGGGCAGGAGCACUCUUAGCCUGGGCAGUGGCUAGAAGAAGUUAACAUUUGGUUCAUUGAGAAUUUGUUUGAGAUGCUCUUACUGAUUUGGAAAAGCAAACAGCUUCCAGAUGACACCAGGAUUAGAAGAACUUGGUGAAGCUGACAGACAAAUAUCUUUUUUUUCCAUUUGUUUAACUGUAUACAUUUUGCUAGAGGAUCUAUUCUGACAAACCGGAUCCUACAUAUUUCCAAUGACCCGUCUUGCACAAGGGCUUUGAGGUCUUUUUAUUAUUAUUAUUAUUUUUGCUCUUUAUCUGUAGAUAUUUUUAAUUAGCACAAAUCGCAAGCAGAUAAUUUAAUUUGGGUUUGGAAAUUCAGGUGCAUGGAAUUUGAAUUUGCAAAUUCUCAUUCAGGACAAGUUUUGAUGACUCAGAAAGAAUUUCAGAUGUACAACCUCCAUUUGAAAAAAAAAUAUGUACUUUAUCUUUAGAUUCAACCCAGUUGCAUCUUGAUAGUUUACAGAGGAAGAAUCCAAAUAAAAAACUUUGGUA